rnacentral:misc_RNA from 1 species
UCUUAUUUUACGAUCAUAAAACCGAUAAUAAAAAUAGUGAAUCGGCUCACCACAUCACAACUCGAUUUGGUAGUUGCCUGACGACGGCCUUCAGCUGAAGUCCUCGAUCGCACAUCUGACGAGCGUGACCGACGAGCUAAGGCUGAGGCGAAGCUUGACGACAAGAUCGAAUAGGGGAUGGUGAGCAAUAGGCAGCGACCAAAGACCGAAGCACAUAGCAUGGCGGACAUACUUAGCCACGGCGAGGCCGACUGAUGAGGGAGAACAAGAAACACGACGGUGAGUCGAUGAGCUGAAGAUUGGGAGCGACAGCCGGUGAGGAGCAGGAAGGUUGGGCGACCAAGCGCCGUCUCCCGCGGCGAGCACCGACGAGCAACAUGGCAUGGCCAUGGAUGGAGGAGCUGGAGCGCCGGCAGAGGGCAGAGAUGGAGUAGGGAACUCGACCAGGAAAGGGACUCGGAACCGGGCGCGGCGGCUGGACGCAGGGCGAGCCAUGGAGAUGGGCGCCGAGCUCCAUGGAUGCAGGGAGGAGGGAGGAGCUCACAGGCUGGCUGGGGAUGGAGGAGGAGAAAUCCACGCGCGCCAUAGAAGGGCUUCGACAGGGACAGGGCGCUGCUGGGAAAUGGAGGGAGAGAAGCAAGGGGGCAGCUAGGCUCUUGGCCGACCGGAGUUGGAGGAGGAAGCCGCGGCCUGAACACCGGCGAGCCAGGCGCGGCCAUGGCUGGGGAAGAGGAACAGCAGGCGAUUUGGAGCGCGGCAUGCUUGAAGAUGGAGCAGAGGAAGCAGUGCAGAGAAGGAACGCGGGGCGUAGGGAGAGA